UUUAAACAUUUGGAAGGCCUCUAACUUAGAUUAGUGUACUGAGUGUACAUAUGUAGAGACGUGAGUGUUUAGUAGAGAGAUCAGAAUCAAAACCUUAGAAAAAGAAGGAGAAAAGGAGAAGGGGAAGAAAAAGAAAGAUUAAGAGGUCGAGACGAGCUGGCAGGAUAGGAACUUUUCACACAUAUUGCACUGUACUCUGAGAUCGUCAAGGUGCUGGAGAUCAAACUGGGUGAAGACUAGCUGUUGGUGUGGAUUUAAUGGUGACCACGAUGUUAUGUGGAUUUUUGCUUAGAUCAUCCUUAAACUUGGGUUUGGAUGCUACCAAUUAAAUAUCCUAGCUACUAUUUUGUAAAAGGAAGAAAACAACCAGUUUGAAACUUAGGGACCUAGUUGGCUAGUGAGUUGUUAGAUUGUAUAAACAAAUAUUUUGGUAUGUAUAGAAAGGUUGACUGUAAA